rnacentral:rRNA from 1 species
UAUAUAGAUUUAAAGAAAUAAUCAUGGAAUACAAAAGCUAUUAAUAGAUAUAGGUUACUAAUAAAAAAAAUUAAUAUUUUUUUUUAAAACCUAAGGUAAACCUUUUAAUAAAUAUACUAAGUGAACUGAAACAUCUAAGUAACUUAAGGAAAGUAAAUCAACAGAGAUAUCAUAAGUAUUGGUGAGAGAAAGUGAUAUAGUCAUAAUAAGUAUUAUGUAAUAUAAAAUAUGUAAGAAUAUAGGACAAACUAGUUCUAAGACUAAAUACUAUUAAUAAGCAAAAUAAGUACUGUAAAGGAAAGUAAUGAAAUGGUUAUUUUAUAAGUAAUCAUAGAUACAAUAUAAAUUGUAUUAAUGAUGUACCUUUUGUAUAAUGGGGCAGCAAGUAAUUAAUAUUAGCAAAAUAAAAAAUAUUAUAAAUAAUUUGAUAUAUAAAUAGUUAAUAUUAAUUGACCCGAAAGCAAAUGAUCUUACUAUGGUUAGACGGAUACGGUCGAACAGGUUGAUGUUGCAAAAUCAUCUGAUAAACUGUGGUAAGUAGUGAAAGACAAAUCUGAUUUGCAGAUAGCUGGUUUUCUACGAAAUAUAUGUAAGUAUAGCCUCUAUAGUAAUUAAUUAUUAUUAAUUACCCC